rnacentral:rRNA from 1 species
GAUGAACGCUAGCGGCAGGCCUAACACAUGCAAGUCGAGGGGGAGGUUACUUUCGGGUGACUGAGACCGGCGUACGGGUGCGUAACGCGUAUACAAUCUGCCUUUCACUGGGGGAUAGCCCGAAGAAAUUUGGAUUAAUACCCCAUAGUAUAUAGGGACGGCAUCGUUUUUAUAUUAAAGCUACGGUGGUGAAAGAUGAGUAUGCGUUCUAUUAGCUAGUUGGAGAGGUAACGGCUCCCCAAGGCGAUGAUAGAUAGGGGUUCUGAGAGGGAUGUCCCCCACACUGGUACUGAGAUACGGACCAGACUCCUACGGGAGGCAGCAGUGAGGAAUAUUGGACAAUGGUCGGAAGACUGAUCCAGCCAUGCCGCGUGCAGGAUGAAGGUCUUAUGGAUUGUAAACUGCUUUUGUAAGGGAAGAAUAAGGGCUACGCGUAGU